UACGUAGGGUGCGAGCGUUGUCCGGAAUUAUUGGGCGUAAAGAGCUCGUAGGCGGUUUGUCGCGUCUGCUGUGAAAACUGGAGGCUCAACCUCCAGCCUGCAGUGGGUACGGGGCAGACUAGAGUGCGGUAGGGGAGAUUGGAAUUCCUGGUGUAGCGGUGGAAUGCGCAGAUAUCAGGAGGAACACCGAUGGCGAAGGCAGAUCUCUGGGCCGUAACUGACGCUGAGGAGCGAAAGCAUGGGGGAGCGAACAGG
rnacentral:rRNA from 1 species